AUACGUAGGGUGCAAGCGUUAAUCGGAAUUACUGGGCGUAAAGCGUGCGCAGGCGGUUUUGGAAGACAGUGGUGAAAUCCCCGGGCUCAACCUGGGAACUGCCAUUGUGACUGCAAGGCUGGAGUGCGGCAGAGGGGGAUGGAAUUCCGCGGGUAGCAGGGAAAUGCGUAGAUAUGCGGAGGAACACCGAUGGCGAAGGCAAUCCCCUGGGCCCGCACUGACGCUCAUGCACGAAAGCGUGGGGAGCAAACAGGAUUAGAUACCCUGGUAGUCCACGCCCUAAACGAUGUCAACUGGUUGUUGGGGAUUUAUUUUCUCAGUAACGAAGCUAACGCGUGAAGUUGACCGCCUGGGGAGUACGGCCGCAAGGUUAAAACUCAAAGGAAUUGACGGGG
rnacentral:rRNA from 1 species